UACGGACUCGUCUAAUGGUAGGACAUUUGAUUUUGAUUCAAGUAAUUCAGGUUCGAAUCCUGGGUCUGUAA
rfam:Monosiga brevicollis mitochondrion, complete genome.